CUUUUUUAAUGUCUGUGCGAAAAGGAAACCGACAGUUGCAGCGACGGCCUACAGACAUUCCACCAGAGUUUGACUCACAUUCUAAAUUGUCUACAGACAUGUCGUUAGACCAAUUAUAAACCGGCCUUAAGUCAUUAGCUUGGCUUUUGUAACGUAUAAGGCUGAAGCAGACAGGCUGACAGACAGAGAACAAAAAGAAGCACAGAGUUACAGCAGGGAAACUAAAUGGCUAGAGCAGAGGCACAGUUAAUAGCGGGGUCGCCGACUGCCAGGGUAUAUACUGCGGACGGAGGAGGAAGUGAGAGAGCAGCAAAAAGAAGUGACCUCAUCAACAACAUUGUGGUGCUACUGCAUGAUUCAAUAAUGUACUGAUUUUCAACUACUAAUAUGUCCCUUUUUUCUUUUAAAGUGUGAAUCUCGGGCAAUGGCAAAACCAGAGCCUGUUUGAUCUUUUAUUCUGAAACUGUGAUCAUGUGUUUAUUGUUCCUCACCUGUACUUUAGCCCCUCCUGUGUGUACCCCAUUUACCCAUUUAGCUCCACCACGAAUCAUGUUUGUUUAAAACACUGAUACUAAGGCGUCCCACAACGGAGUGCCUCUAGACCUGUCUGUAUGCUGACUAAACUGUCUGUUUUCUGAUUAAUGUGACUAACAUCCCUCUAUAAAGCUAUGCUAUUGACACACAGGCCCAGACUUACUCAACAUUUGCACCUGCACUUUUCAAUAUACCUAGUUUUUGUUCAAGUUGUUUAGUUGCAAACUUUUACAAUAUCUGGCCCAAGGCGUCUUGAGAUAUAUACACACACUGCUGCCAUAAAUGAAAAUCAUAGGAGAUAUCUUUAGAGUGGUAAUCUUACAACCACCAUUUUUGAUUUAGAACUGUGUCCACUCUGAACCCUCAAAAGGCAGUGUGUGUCCACAGCAACACUCAUGUUCUAACUCUGAUUCUAGUUUCAGCAGUUCUCAAAAAAAAGGAGCUUAUUGCCCUUAGUAAAGGUUUUAAGAUCUUAUAUGCAGUCGUGUAUAAUGUCUUUACAGAAUAUAUAUAGUAAGGUUUAACUAAGCCACUUGCCUGAAAUAUUAUCAACAUCUUUCUGAAUGGCUGUAUAACACUGAAUUGCUGUGAGUGUUUUGAAUACUUAAUCACACCGAUAUGACUGUGUUAGUACAGCCAUAGUUGAGAUGACUGAAAAUGCAAACGUAUAUUUUCUUUGUUUAAAAUCCUCAUCUUGGCUUUACUGAGAGCAACAGUACCUACAUGACAUUUGCAGUUGAUUAAAACUAAUAUUAUAAUCAUGCAAUCCAGAGAUUGGCCUGUUUUCAGACCUAUCACCGUAAAACAUAAUUCUGUUAACUCAAAUUAUUUGAAAAACUGAUUGCCUUGACUCAUUAAAUUAAAGCAACACAUUUUUUUGUAAGUUACCAGUACUCAGUUCAUUUUGUUUUAGUGACUUAGAAGAUUAUGUUACACAGUGAACUGUAGAGAGCAUAUAACUGCAGACUGUUGACAAAAG
ensembl:lncRNA